ensembl:lncRNA
CCAUGACAACCUCAAAGACAACACUUUCAGUUUACAGCAAAGUCAGCAAGAACAGAAUUACAGAUUAAGAAGACUUAUUUUAACAAAGCAGCGGAGGAGAUAAGGAGGGGGAGUAGUUUGGAGGUUAUGGAGACAGAGGGAAAGGAUGCUGGGCAUCAGGAUGUCUACGAAAGCUUCGAAAGGCCUCAGGAUGGUGUCCCACUGGACUCAAUGCCCGUCACACAACAGGCGGGCGCCCACAAAAAGACUAAGCCCAAGGAACAGGAGAUGAGAGAGACCCACGAAAACCUCGUAAGGGCUUUCAUGGCUCACUUCGAGGCCCAUAACAGGCGUCGUGAGGUCACCACCCAGGACACACGGUAUGCCAGAGCGAAGGUGAGGAUGGAGAUGAACAGGGGGCUAACAGGGAUAGAGAGAAAGAGUGAGAUGGAGAGAAGAAGGAUGGAGCUGGAGAGAACAAGGAAGGAGGUGGGGAGACUGGAGAAGGAAGUGAAGCUAAUAAAAGAUGAGAUUCUAAGAAAAGAGGAAGUGGUGAGGAGAGCAGAGAUGGAGAGGAAGGGAAAGGAGAUUGAGAAAGUGAGGAUGGAGGAAAAGCAAAAAAGACAGGAACAGGAAAGAAGGAUAGAGAUGGAGAAAGCUGAAGCAGAGAUGGUGAGAAAGAGAGAGGAGAUGGAGCAAAAGUGGAGAAACAAGGAAGUGGAGAGAAGGAGAUCAGAGAUGGAAAGAUACAAAGAAAUGGAGAGGGAGAAACAGGCGAUAGAAAAAAGAAGACAGGAUAUUGAGAAAGUGAGAGUGGAGACAGAGCAAAAAAGAGAGGAACAGGAAAGAAGGAUAGACAUGGAGAGAGCUAAAGCAGAUAUAGUGAGAAAGAGAGAGGAGAUUGAGAAAGUGAGAGUGGAGAUGGAGCGAAAAAAAGAGGUAAAAAUUGAAAUACACAAAGAAAUGGAGAGGGAGGGACAUGAGGACCAGAGGCAAAAAGGAAAGGAGAGACAAGAGGGGAGUGAGAAAAUACAGGAGGAGACCUCCCAGCCAUUGAAGUCCAUGGGACUAUCCUUUGAAGACACUGAGGAUAGAUCAGAAGAAGACUGGAAGGAAACUGAGAAGGAGAUGAACAGGAGGGGGGAGGCUCUCUCAGGAGACAGCGAUGACAGCGACGGGGAGACUGACUCUGAUGACUUGUGGAUGGAUGAGGCGGAGAAACAGGCGAAGGAGGUGGAGCAAAUGAGAGAGGAGAUUCUAAGAAACGAGGAAGUGGAGAGAAGGAGAACAGAGAUGGAAAGAUACAAAGAAAUGGAAAGAGAGAAACAGGCGAUAGAGAAAAGAAGACAGAAUAUUGAGAAAGUGAGAGUGGAGACAGAGCGAAAAAGAGAGGAACAGGAAAGAAGGAUAGACAUGGAGAGAGCUAAAGCAAAGAUAGUGAGAAAGAGAGAGGAGAUUGAGAAAGUGACAGUAGAGACCCAGCAAAAAAGUGAGGAGGUAAAAAUGGAAAUACACAAAGACAUGGAGAAGGAGAGAGAUAAAGACCAGAGACAAAAAGGAAAGGAUAGACAAGAGGGAAGUGAUAAUUCAGGAAAAGAAAAGAAGGAGAAGAUGGAGAAGAAGGAGGAUGAGAAAGUGAAUGAGCCCCAAACGAGAGACAAGAGGAACUCAGAUAUGAUGUGGAAAAUUGAGGAGGAGACCUCCCAGCUGUGGAAGUCCAUGGGACUAUCCUUUGAAGACACUGAGGAUGGAUCAGAAGAAGACUGGAAGGAAACUGAGGAGGCCAGUGUAGACCUAGACUUGCUCUUCCUGAAGGACAAUGAAAAGACUGAAAUAGAUAGAGGAAAAGAAAGGAGAUUGGAAGAGGAGAACAAAUCAAGACAGCUAAAAGUGGAGACACAGCGAGAAAUGAAAACUGUGAGACUGAAAGAAGAGGAGAGCAAGAGGAAAGCCAUGAUGGAACAACUGAAAGAGGACGAAAGGAGGAAGAGAGGGAUGGAAGCAGAAAUGGAGAGAAAGGAACAGGAGGAGAGGCUGAGAGAAAAGGAAAGGGCCAAACUAAGAGAAGAGGAGAGAAAGAAAAAAGAGAUGCAAGAGAAGACAAGGAGAGAGCUGGAGCAGAUAACACAAAGAGAGAGGGAGGAGAAGGGGAAGAAAGCCAAAGUGGCCAAUAAAUUAAUCCAGGCACGUGACAGCGAUGACAUUGACGUAGAGAGCUUGAGUGAUGAAGAUAUGUGGAAGGAUAAGGAGCUCCCAAUGGACCAAAAGAAAAGGCAGACAAAAGACGAAAAGGAACA